CAUCCCUCCCAUUAAUAACCACCUGCCACUCAUUAGCAAAAGUCAUGUUUUAGUGGCUAUUGUGUUUCAUCCAUGCUUUUUGUUUGGGAAAUAUAUCAACAUGGAAAAGAAAACUGGUCUUCAAACCAUCCAUCCAUCAUGUGGUCAUGAGUUAUGUGCUAAAUAUUCAUAAAAAGGAGUGAGAAAAAGACAAAGAGAGAGAGGGUGAGAGGGAGUGAUCCUGUAUCCGUGAUCCUGCUCCUGUGUUGUUCUUCUGGAUUGGAUGUUGUCUGGGCAGACAGCUUGACAAAUGAUACUGUUUGCUUUCAUCGAAUGGAAAAUAGCAGGCUGAACAUUCCUCAGAAUUUCACACAGGUGUGAAACAACAUGAGGUAGAUGGUGUAAUGUCAAGUUGGGCACGGAGCCCAGUUCUGCAGCAGUGAUGCGUCCCGUACUGACACUCGGUUACAGUUCCUCAUUCAACGUGUCCAAACCUCAUUUCAGCAUUAUUUCAUCACCUGCGUGUGUGUGUGAGCGUUUAACUGCGGAUGGUGACUACAGGUUUCUACCGAUGAAUCAGCACGAACACAAUUGGUCUCUCUCUUUCACGUUCUAUUCUCCCGUUCUGUCCAUCUGUCAUCAGGCUUUACCCACCCUCUGAGCUGUCACUCCAGAACAGGAUGCCCAUUUAGGUUGGACACAAUUAUACACUUAUAUGUGUGUGUGUAGCUCAUGCAUGCCGUAAGACAUCGAGCACGGACCUGGGCCAGUCAGAAAUGUGAUCCGCCCCAUUGGCCACCCCUCCCGCUCCAGGGCUGCCCGUCUGGGAGAAAGGAACAGUGGGAAUUCUGUGUGGCUUUGGGCAGCCGAAGCCUCUUCCCAACAAUUACCUUCAAUUAGGGGAGCACAGUGGCGCGCAGGCAGAAAAAGGGACCCCAUUAGGGGCCAGGCCGGGCGACUGGAGUCAGGCCAGUCCUACUGUCCCCCUCUGCUCACUUACACUGCCCCGGGGCUAGGGUUACACCACACACACCCUGUCUCUUCACCCCUACCUGAUUCUGUCUUCCUGGUCAACCUGAUUGUCGUCUUUUCCCUCUUAGGGAGUUCGCUAGGGAGAGAAAAAGAAAAUAUUUCAUAAGGACAACAAAUCUUGCAGGGUCAUAUCUUAUUUAUUUAUUUAUUUUCCAAAGAUUUGUUAAUGAUGCAAAAGUUUCAAUGCUUCUUGUUCCAAAAGUACUUUUUAUUUAAAUUAAGCCUUAAUAUAGUUUUAGUUUUCCAAAUUAUUGAUGCUCAGAUGUAAACAAGUCUCAAAUCCCAGUUGGUAGAGACCUAGUAUUAAUUCUACCAACAUUCUUUUUGCAAAAUAACGGUCAGAGUAUACAGAUAGAUAUAUUUGAUAUAUUUGAAGUUUAUC
ensembl:lncRNA